rnacentral:snRNA from 1 species
UUGUAAGUGGCAGAGUGG